rnacentral:rRNA from 1 species
UACAGAGGGUGCAAGCGUUGUUCGGAAUUAUUGGGCGUAAAGCGCACGUAGGCGGCCGACUAAGUCGGGUGUGAAAGCCCAGGGCUUAACCCUGGAAGUGCACUCGAAACUGGUCGGCUUGAAUAUGGAAGAGGGUCGCGGAAUUCCCGGUGUAGAGGUGAAAUUCGUAGAUAUCGGGAGGAACACCAGUGGCGAAGGCGGCGACCUGGGCCAAUAUUGACGCUGAGGUGCGAAAGCGUGGGGAGCAAACAGG